rnacentral:tRNA from 1 species
CGCAGAGAGGAGCAAAUGGCAGCUCGUCGGGCUCAUAACCCGAAGGUUGCAGGUUCGAGUCCUGCCUCUGCUACUA